GUUAGAUUGCAAUGCACAGUCUGAGUGCGACAAUGGAUUUUUCCCAAGACUGUUUGAUUUUAAUUAUUGCUAACUUAACAGUUUGUCCUUCCUCCUCUGUGCUAGAAGUUGUUCCAUUACUAACUCUGCUGCUAGAAGAGAGUGUUCAGUGUCCUAAGAGAAAAUGUCAGGAAUACAAUUUCUAUGUCAAAUACGUAAUUAAAUUGUUCUUAU